AUUGAACGCUGGCGGCAGGCCUAACACAUGCAAGUCGAACGGUAACAGGAAGCAGCUUGCUGCUUCGCUGACGAGUGGCGGACGGGUGAGUAAUGUCUGGGAAGCUGCCUGAUGGAGGGGGAUAACUACUGGAAACGGUAGCUAAUACCGCAUAAUGUCGCAAGACCAAAGAGGGGGACCUUCGGGCCUCUUGCCAUCGGAUGUGCCCAGAUGGGAUUAGCUUGUUGGUGGGGUAACGGCUCACCAAGGCGACGAUCCCUAGCUGGUCUGAGAGGAUGACCAGCCACACUGGAACUGAGACACGGUCCAGACCCCUACGGGAGGCAGCAGUGGGGAAUAUUGCACAAUGGGCGCAAGCCUGAUGCAGCCAUGCCGCGUGUAUGAAGAAGGCCUUCGGGUUGUAAAGUACUUUCAGCGGGGAGGAAGGGAGUAAAGUUAAUACCUUUGCUCAUUGACGUUACCCGCAGAAGAAGCACCGGCUAACUCCGUG
rnacentral:rRNA from 1 species